rnacentral:lncRNA from 1 species
UGUCAGCAUUUAAUGGACUAAUAGAUGGAAAAUCUAACUGAGGUAUUAUUUUGAAAUAAAAUAGUACGUGAGGUGUGAAAGUGAAAUGUUUUAAAAAUGUUGUAUAAGAUUGUAAUAGACCUCAAACUUGAGGGAGUAUUAUGUAAUUUACCCUAAUUGUCCAAUCAUAAAUGAGAAAUGCUAAGGAAACUCUAUCAAAAGUAAGACUAUUCAUGGACUUUUCACUCUCUCUUAUUUUUUUCACAAUGUUUUAUAAUGUUGGCAUGAGAAUUGUGUCAAAAACAUGAGAUGACAGAGAGUUCAUAGAAUCUUACUUUUGAGAGAGUCUCUUCAGGAUUUCUCAUCAUAAAUAUUAACCCAACAUUAUGUUUUGUUUCAACCCAAAACCUAAUAAAACUAGAUGGAUUCAUAAUGCCGCAUCGACAUUAAGGGGGGUGUAUUCAAUUGGGAUUUUGAGGGAUUUUAAUUAUUCUAAUGAAUCUAGGGGUAUUCAAUCAGGAUUGUAAGUGAUUAUCUGAAAUUCAAUGUGUAUUCAAUCAAGGUCUUAAGAUAGUUUAUUAAAAUCAUUAAAAAUCUGAGUGUAUUCAAUUAGAAUUUUAAAGAAGUUUAUAACAUUCUAGGUGUAUUCAAUUAGAAUUAGAAUUCAGAGAAUUUGGAAAACUUGAGGAAUUAGAAGGAAUUUGAGAGAUUUUGUAGUGUAUUUGAAGCAUCCACAAAUGUCACUUCUUCUCAUAAGAUUUCGAGGGAAUUGAAUCAAAAUUUUACAUAGAAUCUCUACAAAUCAAUUAAACUUCGUAAAAAUCCAUUAAAAGCUUUCAAAUUCUCAAUUGAAUACACCCCUCUAAAUAAGAUGGUAUUACCAGAAAUAAAAAUUUUCACACUCUCAUAGUUAAGUAAUUGUUAAGUAGAGAUAUCGUCUGCAAUAUUGUAUCGAACAACGAAGAAUUGUCUGAAUUUUUUUUUAUCAAAACAUACAGUGAUUUGGGUGACACAAACUCAUUGGCCGGACACUUCCACAAUAGGCCACUAGAGAUGAGACACCACUCUGGUUGGUUACCAUCAAAUCUCACGUACAUACAACUUUUAAUACACACAAACACAUUUUUUGUGGGAAUAACUUGGCCAAGUAACUGAUAAAGCUGCUCUGCUAAAUAUUGGAAUCGCCUAAAUAUUUUAUUCUUUCCAUACUCUUAUGGUUGAGUAAUUCUUAAGACAGACUUUCGUAUGAAACAUUGAAUCGAACGGCGAAGAAUAGUUAGAUCAUUUUAUAAGAAAAAGGAGUAAUUAGAAUCUCCACCUCUUCUUUUACAUUUUUUUGUUAAACAUUUGUUCGUAUUCAAAUUUUGAUUAAGACGUUUUGGCUAAUAGCCACAUCAUCACAUUUGAAUUUUAUAUUUCAUUUAUUUUUAGCUACGCUUAUAGAUCUUUAUUUUAAUCUUAUUUUGUUUUCUGUAACUAAAAAAUCACCACUUGACACUCUACAACUCAAAGUUCGCUUCACUUUGUCUCAUGUAACUCGAUUUUAAUCUUAUUUUGCCCCCUGAAACUUGAAAGUCAUCUCUGUAAAACUCAAAAUUCGAUCCAUGUGGCCUUAGACUUGUUAAUUUCUUUUGUGGGUUUGAUUUGGGUGAGUCAGGCUAAUCAAUUUUUUUUUUCAUCUCUUCAAUUUAUAUUAAACUUAAUAUUUUCUGAUUGUCGAAUGUUAACACAUAAUGAAGAUUUAUAAUCAAAUUUAUUGCAUAUGUGACAUAGUCUUAUUGGCUGUUGCGUCACACAUAUUAGUUUCAGGGAGAUGAGAGACCCCACAAGUCAAAGUGAAACGAAUUUUGAGUUUCGGAGUAAAGUGAUGACUUUUGAAUUACAGGGGAGAAAGUGAGAUCAAAAUAGAGUUCCAGGGAACAUAGCUAAAAAUAAGCCUUACAUGUCAUUAGUGUGCUUUUUUGUGAGAACCCGUAUUUUAUAAUUAUAUUAUUGGAUUAUUUGUGUAAAAGAAGUUCGUUUUUCUUUUAUAUUUAUUUUUAGUUUGUGCAACGCACGUGGGGCGUGACAGAAUGGUAUCAGAGCUCCGAGGGAUUAGAUACCCUUGGACUUGUGGUCUUAGUUUGUCUUGUAGGUUUUGAUUGACGUUUGGAGGACGAAAUUUUUUAAGAAGAGUAGAUUGUGAGAACCCGUAUUUUAUAAUUAUAUUAUGGGAUUAUUUGUAUAAGAGAACUUCAUAUUUCUUUUCUAUUCAUUUUUUGCCCCCACACCGGGUGCAUGGUUGAAUUAUUUUAUUGACCUCGGGUCUGGGACGUGACAUUUUUAAAAUCAAAAUGUCCUAUAUUAAUAUCUCAAUUUUUUCAUUUAGUUGUUAGAGGUUUUUCUUCCUAAUUUCAUGGUGAUUGAUUUUGGUGAUUGAUUUAAUCACCAAAAUUAUAUCUUUUUUAAUAAUAUUUUUCGGACAAAAUAUUCUCUGUGUUUCUCUGAAAUAUUUUUUGUCCAAAAUGAGUUCCCAGUAUGUCCAUAGUUUUUAUUUUAUUUUUGAUCAAUUUCGUAAAUUUAGUUUUUGACCCAAUGUUAUUAGUUUGAGUUUGAUACAUCUAUGGUACAUUUGAGUUUUGAUUUGUGACAUUUUUAGUAACGCCGCUAUGUAGGAAGAUACUGAUGUUUUAUAUUCAACAAAAAAUAUAAAAAAAAUUAUUUCACGUAAUUAUUCCCCUAUAUUCUAGUCAAUUGUUGGCUGGAUAAAAAAAAUAUUGGUGGAUUAAAAAUUUAGGGUAAAUUAUAUAGUAGCCUCUCAGGUUUGUGGUCUAUUACAACCGUAUACAACAUCUUUAAAACAUUUCACUUUUAUACCUCAUGUACUAUUUUAUUUCAAAAUAAUACAUCCAUUACAUUUUCCAUCUAUUGAUCUGUUAAGCACUGACGUGACUGUCACAUUUGUGCCACGUGGCUGCCAAAUGUGUGCCACGUGGCAAAAAAACAAUUUUAAAAUUUUUUUUAAACCUAAAUCUUCUAAAAAAAAAAACCAAAAACCAAAUAACA